rnacentral:rRNA from 1 species
AACGAAAGCUGGCGGCAGGCUUAACACAUGCAAGUCGAGCGACCCGCAAGGGGAGCGGCAGACGGGUGAGUAACGCGUGGGAACCUACCCAUCUCUAUGCAAUAACGCGGGGAAACGUGUGCUUAUACCGUAUACGUCCUUCGGGAGAAAGAUGUAUCGGAGAUGGAUGGGCCCGCGUUGGAUUAGCUAGUUGGUGGGGGAAAGGCCUCCCAAGGCGACGAGGCAUAGCUGGUCUGGGAGGAUGAUCAGCCACACUGGGACUGGGACACGGCCCAGACUCCUACGGGAGGCAGCAGUGGGGAAUAUUGGACAAUGGGCGCAAGCCUGAUCCAGCCAUGCCGCGUGAGUGAUGAAGGGCCUAGGGUUGUAAAGCUCUUUCACCGGUGAAGAUAAUGACGGUAACCGGAGAAGAAGCCCCGGCUAACUUCGUGCCAGCCGCCGCCGUAAGAC